UCCUCCUUUAAAAGUACUCUCUGGGCCUCUGUCCGUGACCCAUUGAGCCGUCAAGAAAGGCAGAGUAUAAACACCGUUUUUGGGUGAAGUGGCAGCGUGUCGUGUUGUUAUGCUUCAAUCGGUGGUGUCACAAGA
ensembl:snoRNA